rnacentral:ncRNA from 2 species
GCGACAUCCAAGGGGCGCCCCGGCAAGGGGCUGAGAUACCGCUGACGCUGCGGGAACCCUUAGAACCUGAUCCGGGUCGUACCGGCGUAGGGAUGGAAAGGGCCGCACAC